GACGAACGCUGGCGGCGUGCUUAACACAUGCAAGUCGAGCGAUGAAAUCCCUUCGGGGAUGGAUUAGCGGCGGACGGGUGAGUAACACGUGGGUAACCUGCCUCAAAGAGGGGGAUAGCCUCCCGAAAGGGAGAUUAAUACCGCAUAACAUUAGUUUUUCGCAUGGAGAACUAAUUAAAGGAGUAAUCCGCUUUGAGAUGGACCCGCGGCGCAUUAGCUAGUUGGUGAGGUAACGGCUCACCAAGGCGACGAUGCGUAGCCGACCUGAGAGGGUGAUCGGCCACAUUGGAACUGAGACACGGUCCAGACUCCUACGGGAGGCAGCAGUGGGGAAUAUUGCACAAUGGGCGAAAGCCUGAUGCAGCAACGCCGCGUGAGUGAUGAAGGCCUUCGGGUUGUAAAGCUCUGUCUUUUGGGACGAUAAUGACGGUACCAAAGGAGGAAGCCACGGCUAACUACGUGCCAGCCGCCGCUGUAACAC
rnacentral:rRNA from 1 species